GUCCUUUGGGGACAUCCGAUAAAACUGAAACGAUACAUAGAAGAUUAGCAUGGUCCCUGUGCAACGAUGGCAGGCACAAAACAAAUCGAGAAAUGGUCCAA